rnacentral:rRNA from 1 species
CCCUUAGAUGUUCUGGGCCGCACGCGCGCUACACUGUUCGACGCAGCGAGUCUUAACCUUGACCGAAAGGUUUGGGUAAUCUUCAGCAAAGUCGUACGUGAUGGGGAUCGAUCAUUGCAAUUAUUGAUCGUGAACGAGGAAUUCCUAGUAAGUGCAAGUCAUCAGCUUGCGCUGAUUACGUCCCUGCCCUUUGUACACACCGCCCGUCGCUACUACCGAUUGAAUGGUUUAGUGAGAUCUCUGGAUUGACGCUGGCUAGGGGGCGACCCUUGGCCAGACUGUUGAGAAACUGCUCAAACUUGAUCAUUUAGAGGAAGUAAAAGUCGUAACA